rnacentral:pre_miRNA from 3 species
UGUUAUGGAUGAGCAAAGAAAGUGGUUUCUUUACAUGAAAUCUACUCCUGGUGAAGGUGCUGUGAG